rnacentral:rRNA from 1 species
AUUGAACGCUGGCGGCAUGCUUUACACAUGCAAGUCGAACGGUAACAGGCCUUCGGGUGCUGACGAGUGGCGAACGGGUGAGUAAUGCAUCGGAACAUACCCAGUCGUGGGGGAUAACGUAGCGAAAGUUACGCUAAUACCGCAUACGUCCUGAGGGAGAAAGCGGGGGAUCGCAAGACCUCGCGCGAUUGGAGUGGCCGAUGUCAGAUUAGCUAGUUGGUGGGGUAAAGGCCCACCAAGGCGACGAUCUGUAGCGGGUCUGAGAGGAUGAUCCGCCACACUGGGACUGAAACACGGCCCAGACUCCUACGGGAGGCAGCAGUGGGGAAUUUUGGACAAUGGGCGAAAGCCUGAUCCAGCGAUGCCGCGUGGGUGAAGAAGGCCUGCGGGUUGUAAAGCCCUUUCGAUGGGGAAGAAAGCCUGGAGCCAAUACCUCCGGGUCUUGACGUUACCCAGAGAAGAAGCACCGGCUAACUCCGUGCCAGCAGCCGCGGU